rnacentral:lncRNA from 8 species
AUGUAUACUGGCAAUACGUGCAGCAUUAAAAUUGGUAAGAAAAGAACAGAUUUCUUUAACCAGGGGCGGGGCCUUCGUCAGGGUUGCAAUCUGAGCCCUGCACUCUUCAAUAUUUACAUUAACGAAUUGGCCACUAUUCUAGAAAAAUCCUCAGCCCCUGGUGUUAGUCUCCACAAUUCAGAAGUUAAAUGCCUACUCUUCGCAGAUGACCUAUGCCUGCUGUCACCCACAGCACCUGGCCUACAGCAGAGCCUGGACCUGCUAGAGCAGUACUGCCAGACCUGGGCCCUGGCAGUAAACCCCAAAAAGACUAAAAUAAUGAUUUUCCAGAGAAGAUCCAGAUCUCAGGGAAUUAGACCAAAGUUCUCAAUUGGUACAAUAUAUAUAGAGUACUGUACACACUACAAUUACUUAGGUUUAAAAAUAAGCUCAACUGGACACCUUAAUGAGGCAGUGAAUGAACUGAGAGAGAAAGCACGCAGGGCAUUCUACGCCAUUAAAAAGCUAAUUCAAAUUGAAAUACCUAUUAAAAUUUGGCUAAAACUAAUUGAAUAUGUCAUUGAACCAAUUGCACUUUAUGGCAGCGAGGUGUGGGGUCCACUUGCAAAACAAGAUUUCAUCAAAUGGGACAAACACCCCAUUGAAACCCUACAUGCAGAGUUCUGUAAGAUUCUCCUACGUGUCCAGAGGAAAACUACAAACAAUGCAUGCAGGGCAGAAUUAGGCCAUUAUCCACUAAUAAUAAAAACUCAAAAAAGAGCAAUUCAGUUUUGGAAACAUCUAAAAUACAGUGACCCCCUCUCAUAUCAUUACCAAGCCCUGCAAUGCCAAGAGCUGAGCAAAGAAAAGAGUCCCCUCAUCCAGCUGGUCCUGGGGCUGAGUUCACAAACCUGUUCUACUAACACACUGAAGCCUCAGGACCAGAACAUCCAAUCAAUCAGAAUAAACCAAAUUACAACACAGUCAAAACAAAACUACAUUGCUUAUUGGGAAACACAAGCACAAACACAAAGCAAAAUGCAGUGCUAUCUGGCCCUAAAUCGACAGUACACUAUGGCUAAAUAUUUGACCAUGGUUACUGAUCAAAACCUUAGAAAAACCUUGACAAAGUACAGGCUCAGUGAGCACAGCCUUGCCAUUGAGAAGGCUAGACACAGGAAAACCUGGCUCCCAGUAGAGAAAUGGCUGUGCAACCACUGCACCACAGCAGAACCUGAGACGGAGCUGCAUUUCCUGACAAAAAUGUCAAAAAUAUAA